AGUUUGAUCCUGGCUCAGAGCGAACGCUGGCGGCAGGCUUAACACAUGCAAGUCGAACGCAUCGCAAGAUGAGUGGCAGACGGGUGAGUAACGCGUGGGAACAUACCCUUUUCUACGGAAUAGCUCUGGGAAACUGGAAUUAAUACCGUAUACGCCCUACGGGGGAAAGAUUUAUCGGGGAAGGAUUGGCCCGCGUUGGAUUAGCUAGUUGGUGGGGUAAAGGCCUACCAAGGCGACGAUCCAUAGCUGGUCUGAGAGGAUGAUCAGCCACAUUGGGACUGAGACACGGCCCAAACUCCUACGGGAGGCAGCAGUGGGGAAUAUUGGACAAUGGGCGCAAGCCUGAUCCAGCCAUGCCGCGUGAGUGAUGAAGGCCUUAGGGUUGUAAAGCUCUUUCACCGAUGAAGAUAAUGACGGUAGUCGGAGAAGAAGCCCCGGCUAACUUCGUGCCAGCAGCCGCGGUAA
rnacentral:rRNA from 1 species